rnacentral:rRNA from 1 species
ACGAACGCUGGCGGCAUGCCUAACACAUGCAAGUCGAACGAGACCUUCGGGUCUAGUGGCGCACGGGUGCGUAACGCGUGGGAACCUGCCUUUAGGUUCGGAAUAACUCAGAGAAAUUUGAGCUAAUACCGGAUGAUGUCUUCGGACCAAAGAUUUAUCGCCUUUAGAUUGGCCCGCGUUGGAUUAGCUAGUUGGUGGGGUAAAGGCCUACCAAGGCGACGAUCCAUAGCUGGUCUGAGAGGAUGAUCAGCCACACUGGGACUGAGACACGGCCCAGACUCCUACGGGAGGCAGCAGUGGGGAAUAUUGGACAAUGGGCGAAAGCCUGAUCCAGCCAUGCCGCGUGAGUGAUGAAGGCCUUAGGGUUGUAAAGCUCUUUUACCCGAGAUGAUAAUGACAGUAUCGGGAGAAUAAGCUCCGGCUAACUCCGUG